CCUACUGUGGGCAGCAGUGGGGGAUAUUGCACAAUGGGGGGAACCCUGAUGCAGCGACGCCGCGUGGGUGAAGGAGCGUUUCGGCGCGUAAAGCCCUAUCGGCAGGGAAGAAGAUGACGGUACCUGACCAAGAAGCCCCGGCUAAAUACGUGCCAGCAGCCGCGGUAAUACGUAGGGGGCAAGCGUUAUCCGGAUUUACUGGGUGUAAAGGGGGCGCAGACGGCAAUGCAAGCCAGGAGUGAAAGCCCGGGGCCCAACCCCGGGACUGCGCUUGGAACUGGCGCGCUGGAGUGCCGGAGGGGUAGGCGGAAGUCCUAGUGUAGCGGUGAAAUGCGUAGAUAUUAGGAGGAACACCAGUGGCGAAGGCGGCCUACUGGACGGUGACUGACGCUGAGGCUCGAAAGCGUGGGGAGCAAACAGGAUUAGAUACCCCAGUAGUC
rnacentral:rRNA from 1 species